AUGGAGGUUAUCUCAGAUGUCAAAACACUUCCCUGUGAACAUUACUAUUUUGGACACUGGCCAUUUUACAAAUUUCAAUAUUCAUUUUUGCUCCACCGCUGUUUGAUAUUCCUGUGGUACUUAUUCACCAGGCAUGAUGGUAAUAUUAUGGAAACGGUGAGGCAUCAAGAUCUUAAUUUUGCUCUGACAUGGAAUCUAUUCCUAUUUCAUACACAGGUUGGCUGUUAUUUUCUAGCAGAUGCUUUAAGGUUGAUACAUAUAAAAUUCACCCUCUGUUUGGAAUUAAGUAGAGGGGGAAAGGGGAACAAAAACAACAACAACAACAACAAAAGGAUGAAGAGCGUAGUGAGAUGCUUCUGUGGUUUUGAUGUGAGCUAUGCUUCUGUACAUUCAUUAUAUAAAACAAUGGAAGAAGAAAUUGGAAAGGCCAGUAAACAUGUGAAAAGAUGCUGAGGCUCAACAGCAACCAAAAAUCAGGUAUGGUUUUUUUACCCUCUGGACUGACAAGAAACAUAAAGAUCAGCAAUAUGUUUUCGUGAGGGUGGAAGAAAAUGAGUUCUUUCAUACACUGUUGGUGGGAGAAUAAUGAUAGGGUCUUUUUAGAGUCCCUCUGGCAGUAUCUGUCACCCAUUAAGCCAUCCAUACCCUUUUCUCUGCAAUUCCAAUUCUGGGUAUCUGACUUCUAGAAAUACUGGCACAAAGAUGGACAAGAAUAUUCAUCGCAACACCAUCUGUAUUAUUGAAAAUUGCAGAAACUACUUACAUGCGGGACCACAUGGGCGAUGGACUACACAACUCCAGUGGGUGCCGUUCACCUAUGGCUUUUAUGAAUGGUGCCUCUGGAUGAUGAUACUCUUUGGAGUCCCUGAUAUAUCUAAUAAUGUCAAAGGGGUUAAGUACCUUAUGGUACAUCUCAUCUGUAGCCAGUAAAAAGAAUGAAGUAGAGAUCUAUGUUCUGGCAAGGUAUAAGUCCUGCUAAUGAAAAAUAUCAUUUGUUGAACUGUGUGUACAAUUAAAUCCCUCAUGUUUAACAAAACAACAAUGUUAAAAACAAUUUUUAAAAAAUCCAAUAUUAUGUGUGAG
rnacentral:lncRNA from 12 species